GAAAUGCGAUAAGUAAUGUGAAUUGCAGAAUUCAGUGAAUCAUCGAAUCUUUGAACGCACCUUGCUCUCCUUGGUAUUCCUUGGAGCAUGCCUGUUUUAGUAUCAUGAAAUCUUCAAAGUAAAUCUUUUGUUAACUCAAUUGGUUUCUACUUUGGUAUUGGAGGUCUUUGCAGCUUCACACCUGCUCCUCUUUGUUCAUUAGCUGGAUCUCAGUGUUAUGCUUGGUUCCACUCGGCGUGAUAAGUUAUCUAUCGCUGAGGACACUGUAAAAGGUGGCCAAGGUAAAUGCAGAUGAACCGCUUCUAAUAGUCCAUUGACUUGGACAAUACUUUUAUGAUCUGAUCUCAAAUCAGGUAGGACUACCCGCUGAACUUAAGC
rnacentral:misc_RNA from 1 species